AAAGAGAGAGGGAGAUCGGGAGAGAAGACAGAAGGGAAGCUUGAGGAAGAGAGGGAGAAAAAGCAAGAGCAUGAGAGUGAGCAAGAGAGGCAGAGACAGACCGAGAGAGAGAGUCGAGAGACAUAUAAAGAGAUGUGCAUAAGCCAGGAGGAGGGUGGGUGAGUGUAUGUGUGUCUUAACAUAAUUUUGUCCUGUGAAAGGGAGGGACAGAGGGAGAUUAGCAGAGAGAGGGUGGUGUGUGUGUUUGAGUGUUUCGGGCGGGGGGCGUAGUUGUGUGUGUGUUUAGUGUGUAUGAGAGCAUGUGAACAAUACAUUUGCGCACCACUGAAUUUAAGUGUCAAUGUGAAUGCAUAUGUUUUAGUGUGUGGUUUAUGUGUAUGUGUGUGGUUAUCGUAUUUUUUUUCCUGUGUGUGUGUACCUGUGUUGGUGUGUGUGGGAGUUGAUCUGUACGUGUGAGUGAGUUUAAGAACAUGUGACCAAUGUAUUUGCUCACUGCAGCAGCAAUAAAGUUUGGUUGGUUUGUGUGUCUGUGGUUUAUGUUUGUGUGUGCGUGUGUGUGUGUGUGUGUGUGUGUGUGUGUUUGUGUGUGUGUGUGUGUGGGGGGGGGGUUUGAGCAUGUGUUUGCACAAUAGAGGAAUGACAUUGAAGGCCUUUGUGAACAUCAAACGAUUUCCUUAUCCUAGAAACAUCCAAUUUCUAGAUUUACCUUCUGUAUGUGUUCUUCAACUGUCAUUGCAUUGUGUGUGAGACAGUGUGUUAUGUAUGUAUUGAUGUGUCCAUAAUAUGGAUGUUCAAUUGCAUUUGUGCACACGUUAUUGCAUACCUUGGCAUUUUUGGGAGUGUGUGUGUGUUUACCAGUGUGUAUUUGUGUUAAUCCCUAUGUUUGUGAGUAUGUUCUCCUGUGUGUGUGUGUGUGUGUGUGUGUGGUUGUGCAAAUGUACCUCUGUGUAUGUGUGUAUUCAGCACUUUGUGUGUGUGUGUGUGUUUAUGUAUGUCUGUUUGAGUGUGUGUGUGUGUGUGUGUUUAAAACUGUGUGUGUGUGUGUGUGUGUGUGUGUGAGUGUCCCCGGUGGGGUUGUAUUUCGGUGGGUCAAGUCCGUCCGAUAACAGACUCAUCCUCCUCACAUCUAUUAUUCAGGGGAAGGGGAAUGGAUCGACACUAACAGCAGCGGUUACCCCGCCCGCCUCCAGCCUCCCAGUGAUGCUCUCUGCUCAGGCCCGGUCUCCGCCCCUCUCCAGCCUGACUACAGCUCAUUGUUUGGGGAUAGAACCACACUGGUGUCAGGCGGCCGCACCUCACCUGCCUCUGCCUGCCCCUCCGUCUCCCUGCAGUUACUUUCCCUUUUUGUUCUCGCUGAAGUUGGCUCUGCCAUUCACUCUUUUCAGUUUGGAUUAUUUGUUUUCCCCUUUUGUUCCUUUGCCCGUGUUCUUGUUUCUGUCGGUUCAUUUAUUUCUUUAUUCCUUUUGUUACCUUUUCACGUGGGUUUUCUUUUGCAAUCUUUUCAUUUUCUUUCAUUUGUCUUUGCAUUUUUUUCUAUCAAGUUUCUUAUGCUUCUUUGUUCUUCCUGUUUCUCCACCGGUCGCCUCCUUCUGACGGAGUCUGGGGGAGUGAGGCUCUGAGGGGAAGCUCUGAGGUGAGGCUCUGAGGGGAGGCUCUGAGGUGAGGCUCUGAGGGGAGGCUCUGAGGUGAGGCUCUGAGGUGAGGCUCUGAGGUGAGGCUCUGAGGUGAGGCUCUGAGGUGAGGCUCUGUGGGGAGGCCCUGAGGUGAGGCCCUGUAGUGAGGCCCUGUAGUGAUGUUCUGGAGUGAGGCGCUGGAGUGAUGUGCUGGAGUGGAGCUUGUCUCUUUCAGUGUGAACUGUGAGGCGCUGAGCCGCCGCGUCCUCCGAAGUCCCUGUCUCGUUCGGCUGAAACGCCUUAGUUACUUCAGACAGGACCCCCUUCAUCUGAAGACAUACACACAGACACACACACACACACACACACACACACACACACACACACACACACACGCACACACACACACACACACACACACACACACACACACACACACACACACACACACACACACACACACACACACACACACACACACACACACACACACACACACACACAUAUAUGCAUCCAUGCACACACAUACACACACACACACACACACACACGUAUGCA
ensembl:lncRNA